rnacentral:rRNA from 1 species
UACGGGGGGGGCAAGCGUUGUUCGGAAUUACUGGGCGUAAAGGGCUCGUAGGCGGCCAACUAAGUCGGACGUGAAAUCCCUCGGCUUAACCGAGGAACUGCGUCCGAUACUGGAUGGCUUGAGUGUGGGAGAGGGAUGCGGAAUUCCAGGUGUAGCGGUGAAAUGCGUAGAGAUCGGGAGGAACACCAGAGGCGAAGGCGGCGACCUGGACAGGCACUGACACUCAACUACGAAAGCGUGGGGAGCAAACAGG